rnacentral:rRNA from 1 species
GAUAGCCUACGGAGGCAGCAGUGGGGAAUAUUGCACAAUGGGGGAAACCCUGAUGCAGCGACGCCGCGUGAGUGAAGAAGUAUUUCGGUAUGUAAAGCUCUAUCAGCAGGGAAGAAAAUGACGGUACCUGACUAAGAAGCCCCGGCUAACUACGUGCCAGCAGCCGCGGUAAUACGUAGGGGGCAAGCGCUAUCCGGAUUCACUGGGUGUAAAGGGAGCGUAGACGGCCAGGCAAGCCUGGAGUGAAAGCCCGGGGCCCAACCCCGGGACUGCUCUGGGAACUGUCCGGCUGGAGUGCGGGAGGG